CCUACGGGAGGCAGCAGUAAGGAAUAUUGGUCAAUGGAGGCAACUCUGAACCAGCCAUGCCGCGUGCAGGAAGACUGCCCUAUGGGUUGUAAACUGCUUUUAUCCGGGAAUAAACCUGCUUACGUGUAAGUAGCUGAAUGUACCGGAAGAAUAAGGAUCGGCUAACUCCGUGCCAGCAGCCGCGGUAAUACGGAGGAUCCAAGCGUUAUCCGGAUUUAUUGGGUUUAAAGGGUGCGUAGGCGGCCUGUUAAGUCAGGGGUGAAAGACGGUAGCUAAACUAUCGCAGUGCCCUUGAUACUGAUGGGCUUGAAUGGACUAGAGGUAGGCGGAAUGAGACAAGUAGCGGUGAAAUGCAUAGAUAUGUCUCAGAACACCGAUUGCGAAGGCAGCUUACUAUGGUCUUAUUGACGCUGAGGCACGAAAGCGUGGGGAUCAAACAGGAUUAGAUACCCUGGUAGUCCACGCCCUAAACGAUGAACACUCGCUGUUGGCGAUACACAGUCAGCGGCUAAGCGAAAGCGUUAAAGUGUUCCACCUGGGGAGUACGCCGCAAGGGUUGAAACGUUAAGGAAUUGACGG
rnacentral:rRNA from 1 species